UACGGAGGAUGCAAGCGUUAUCCGGAAUGAUUGGGCGUAAAGCGUCCGCAGGUGGCAAUGUAAGUCUGCUGUCAAAGCGUCUGGCUCAACCAGAUAAAGGCAGUGGAAACUACAUAGCUAGAGUAAGGUGGGGGUAGAGGGAAUUCCUGGUGUAGCGGUGAAAUGCGUAGAGAUCAGGAAGAACACCGGUGGCGAAAGCGCUCUGCUGGACCUAAACUGACACUGAGGGACGAAAGCUAGGGGAGCGAAUGGG
rnacentral:rRNA from 1 species